GGUUAGGUUCCCGAGUGGCCAAAGGGAGCAGACUGUAAAUCUGCCGGCUCUGCCUUCGAAGGUUCGAAUCCUUCCCUAACCA
rnacentral:tRNA from 1 species